CAAAUAUUCUUUCCAGUUUCCAUUUUUCAUUAUUCUGUCUGUAAUUCAUACUAGGAGCAUAUUUCCUUUCUGAUUAGUAGGGCACACAUCUUUGAUUUUCCAAUGGGUUCUGCAGAGGUCUGUGGCUCUUCACUCACCAGAAGUAGGGAAUUCCAUGUUUAUAAAAUGUACAUCAAUCAGACUCAUACCUGCUGGCUUUCCACUUCCUCCCCUCCUACUUUUCCUUCCCUGGGCCAACAACCUGGUGCCCUGGACACAUUGCACCAGUAAAAGAACUGUUGAGUGACCCUGCCAAGUGAUUACCCAUUUUCUAGAUGGCGAUCCAGUCUGUGACACCCUGGAGAAGGGCAUCAGAAGGCCCAGGGUUACGUGCUGCGUGUGCACUUUUUAUCUGAGAACUCUGCAUUGUUAGAGGCACCAUUUUUGGACCACGAGAGAUUUAAUCACAAAGAAUCCACUCAAGCAAUAUUGGAAGAAUGGGAGAAUGAUGCAACGAAGAAUACGUGUUCCACCUUUCCAGUAGUGACAUCCUUCACUUGUUCCCAUGUUGGGCCACACCGGAAGUCUUUGGAUGUUAUCUUUUCAUUCUUGUUUUCCUAAGAAGGUUUUAAAAUUGAUCUUUGGAAUUGACUUUGAAUUUUAUUAGAUCCUUUUAAUGAACCAUCAAGAUGCUCAGAUGUUUGGAUUUCUUGAUUGUGAGAUAUGGUUAAUCACAUUAUAAAUUUAUCAUCCACAAUGCACUCUCCCUUCUUGGGAUAAAUCUCAUUUUGUCAUAUGUCAUGGUGGAACAUUGCUGUGGUUUUCAGCAAGUGACGAUGACAAUAAUAAGAGUAUCUGAAGCCCA